AGUAGUGAUGGCCAAAUGAAGCAUCAUGAAGGUUUGUGAACCAUUUUCUGUAUUUUCUAAGCCCACUAGAUGGCGCUCUCUGUUCAACAAAGGGUUCAAAUCACACUGAGUUGCCAUUCCUUAAGCCAUUUCUUUAAACAAAAGAGCUCCAUCUAGUGGCCUCAGAAAAUAAAUAAUAUGCUUCACAAAGCUUCAUGAAGCUUCUUUUGCCCAUCACUACUAAACAUUCUUCAUC